CGUAGGGUGCUAGCGUUGUUCGGAAUCAUUGGGCGUAAAGCGCGUGUAGGCUGCUAGGUAAGUCGAUUGUGAAAUCCCUGGGCUCAACCGAGGAAGUGCAGUCGAAACUCCCUAGCUAGAAGACGGUAGAGGAAGGUGGAAUUCCAAGUGUAGAGGUGAAAUUCGUAGAUAUUUGGAGGAAUACCGGUGGCGAAGGCGGCCUUCUGGACCGCUCUUGACGCUGAGACGCGAAAGCGUGGGUAGCAAACAGGAUUAGAUACCCUGGUAGUCCACGCCGUAAACGAUGGGUACUAGGUGUUGCAGGAAUUGACCCCUGCAGUGCCGAAGCUAACGCAUUAAGUACCCCGCCUGGGAAGUACGGCCGCAAGGUUA
rnacentral:rRNA from 1 species